AGCGUAGGUGGCCUAACAUGUCAACUGUGAAAACCCGGAGCUCAACUCCGGACUUGCAGUUGAAACUGGUAGGCUUGAGGGCGGUAGAGGAAGACGGAACUGCCAGUGUAGGGGUAAAAUCCUUAGAUAUUGGCAGGAACGCCGGUGACGAAGGUGGUUUUCUGGGCCGGUUCUGACACUGAUGCUCGAAAGCCAGGGGAGCGAACG
rnacentral:rRNA from 1 species